rnacentral:rRNA from 1 species
AUGUGGUUAAUUCGAAGCAACGCGAAGAACCUUACCAGGCCUUGACAUGCAGAGAACUUUCCAGAGAUGGAUUGGUGCCUUCGGGAACUCUGACACAGGUGCUGCAUGGCUGUCGUCAGCUCGUGUCGUGAGAUGUUGGGUUAAGUCCCGUAACGAGCGCAACCCUUGUCCUUAGUUACCAGCACGUUAUGGUGGGCACUCUAAGGAGACUGCCGGUGACAAACCGGAGGAAGGUGGGGAUGACGUCAAGUCCUCAUGGCCCUUAUGUCCAGGGCUACACACGUGCUACAAUGGCCGGUACAAAGGGUAGCAAGACCGCGAGGUGGAGCCAAUCCCAAAAAGCCGGUCUCAGUUCGGAUUGGAGUCUGCAACUCGACUCCAUGAAGUUGGAAUCGCUAGUAAUCGUGGAUCAGCAUGCCACGGUGAAUACGUUCCCGGGCCUU